AUUGAACGCUGGCGGCAUGCCUAACACAUGCAAGUCGAACGGCAGCAUGAGUAGAGCUUGCUCUACUUGAUGGCGAGUGGCGGACGGGUGAGUAAUAUGUAGGAAUCUACCUAGAGGUGCGGGAUAACUUAGGGAAACUUAGGCUAAUACCACAUAAGCCCUACGGGGGAAAGCAGGGGAUCGUAAGACCUUGCGCCUUAUGAUGAGCCUACAUCGGAUUAGCUUGUUGGUGGGGUAAAGGCCUACCAAGGCGACGAUCCGUAGCUGGUCUGAGAGGAUGAUCAGCCACACUGGGACUGAGACACGGCCCAGACUCCUACGGGAGGCAGCAGUGGGGAAUAUUGGACAAUGGGCGCAAGCCUGAUCCAGCAAUGCCGCGUGUGUGAAGAAGGCCUUAGGGUUGUAAAGCACUUUAAGCGAGGAGGAGGCUACCGAGAUUAAUACUCUUGGAUAGUGGACGUUACUCGCAGAAUAAGCACCGGCUAACUCUGUGCCAGCCGCCGCGGUAA
rnacentral:rRNA from 1 species